GAGCACUCUAAUCCCUUCUCAUCAUCAGCGGGGUCCACCGUCUGUCGUUAGCAGCUGUUUAGGUGCAGGCUAAAACGGCAGGUCAGCAAAACGUCACCGAUUUCUCGGGCGAAAAUGGCACUGCAUUUCACCUUCACAACUGCAGUAGGGCAGUCAACAUGGCGCUUGUGUCACUGGGGUUCUAGUGGAUUAUAGCUAAAGCGGCAUCUCAGCAAAACGUCACCUGGCGAAAAUGGCACCGAUUGGCGGAAACGUCUCCUCGUCACCAUAGGCUCAUUUUACUUUUACACUUUCAUUGGAGUCUUCACUUGAGUGCAAGUCAGUGUUAUCAUCGCUGGAUGUAUUUCCAUUUAUCCCAGAUUAUGGCUUAAACAACGGAAUUUACAUAAAGCUCUAAGAAGAUCUCUUUCACAUGCUAAAGUCGA